UUUCCGUAGGUGAACCUGCGGAAGGAUCAUUAACAAAUUGUAAAGGUGGUAAUACUAUCUGUAGUAUUAUUCCUCCAUGUAGUAUUAUUCUUUUCGACACAUUGUGCACAUUUAUAACGCUACUCUAUAAUUUUAACUUUAUAAUUUAAACAACUUUAAACAAUGGAUCUCUUUUCUCUUGCAACGAUGAAGAACUCAGCACAUCGGAAGAGCACGCGUCUGCACUCCAGUCAACAUCCGUCAUCCCGUAAACCGUCUUCUUAUUGACAAGACAAAAGG
rnacentral:misc_RNA from 1 species